GUCUAAAUUUAAACAGUAUUAUACUGUAUAGAGCGAUCGUGUCUCUUUAGGGCGCUUGGAGGAAACCACGCAAUUCAUAUGGAUUACUUUGGCGAUGUUUUUUUGCGAUGAACUUUUUGAAACGUGAACAUCUUUGAUGAAUCUUUUCAUCGGAGGGACAUAAAUCUCUCAGAUUUCAUUAAAAUAUCUCCGCUUUUCUUUCGAAGAUGAACGAAAGUCUUAGAUGGUUUGGAGCAUCUUAAGGGUGAGUGAUGACAUAAUUCAAAUUGUUUUGGGGGAAUUAUGAAAUUAAUUUGAAAAUAUAGCGGUAUGUUCUUAUGUUUACCAGCUUCUGCAAGCGUGUAUGGCAUCUGGCUAUUGGAACCUCACUGUGACUUCAGAUAAGAACAAAGAUUAAAUUGUAAGAAUGGUUGCUUAUAAGAGCAUACAGUACAUCUGAAACUGCUGAGGCUGGGAAGGUUUUUGACUAUAUUUCCGACCAGAUCAGCUGCUAUAGAAGACAAACUGAAAUCUGAGUGCAGAGACAAGCAAAGGAAUAGCACUUGUGCAAGAUAUUGUAUGCCUGAACGACUAGGCUGUGCCCAGGUCUCCAGAACCUGUGACGACGUUCAGCUCCAUCGGCCCUUAGUAUCCGGCUUCAGAUCCACCAGCUCUGUCUCCAUCGGUCGGUCCCCAGAUGUCGGCAGCCACACCAUCUACAUCUUGGCUCCUCGCUCCCUCGACUCCGCCGUGUGUUAUCAGCACUGGGAUGCUCUGGGUCUGUGCCAUGUGCCAAAUACUAUCUAAGCCACCAGGGCAUCAUCUUCAUCCUCCCAUCACCAUCCCUUCACCACAUCCUGCCAUCAUCCCGCACCUUUGCCUCUCACCAUCCCUACGCCAUCUCCUCGUCCACCUCCAAACCCCCUCCAUCCCUCCCUAUUCUGUUGCUUGAACUUUAUCAUCUUCAGUCUUUGCACACACAGUACAUUUUUUUCAGUAAAUUUUUGUUUUGUUUUUUCUUUAGAAAAUUGCAUUGUAAUUUUUAUUUAUUCAUUGGUGUAAAAUGAUGUACUUUUCAGUAAUACAGGUAUAACUGAAAUGUUCUACAAAUGGAUAAGAUAGCUCUGCCAUAGCAUUUCAGUCUUUUUUUCAUUUAUUAUAAUGUUUUUUGUAUAAUGUUUUAAAAUGUAGUUGAGUAUGUUGUUAAUAGUAUAUUUAAUAGUAUGUUUUUUUUUGUUUUUCACCAAAGUAUAUAUGCUGCUGUACUUUUUAAAUGUACUUUAUGAAUAUUUGUAAUGUACACAAUAUAUAAUACAUUAAA